CAAGGCGUCGACGGGUAGCCGGCCUGAGAGGGUGACCGGCCACACUGGGACUGAGACACGGCCCAGACUCCUACGGGAGGCAGCAGUGGGGAAUAUUGCACAAUGGGCGAAAGCCUGAUGCAGCAACGCCGCGUGAGGGACGACGGCCUUCGGGUUGUAAACCUCUUUUAGCAGGGAAGAAGCGAAAGUGACGGUACCUGCAGAAAAAGCGCCGGCUAACUACGUGCCAGCAGCCGCGGUAAUACGUAGGGCGCAAGCGUUAUCCGGAAUUAUUGGGCGUAAAGAGCUCGUAGGCGGUUUGUCGCGUCUGCUGUGAAACCCCGAGGCUCAACCUCGGGCCUGCAGUGGGUACGGGCAGACUAGAGUGCGGUAGAGGAGAUUGGAAUUCCUGGUGUAGCGGUGGAAUGCGCAGAUAUCAGGAGGAACACCGAUGGCGAAGGCAGAUCUCUGGGCCGUAACUGACGCUGAGGAGCGAAAGGGUGGGGAGCAAACAGGCUUAGAUACCCUGGUAGUCCACCCCGUAAACGUUGGGAACUAGUUGUGGGGUCCAUUCCACGGAUUCCGUGACGCAGCUAACGCAUUAAGUUCCCCGCCUGGGGAGUACGGCCGCAAGGCUAAAACUCAAAGGAAUUGACGGGGACCCGCACAAGCGGCGGAGCAUGCGGAUUAAUUCGAUGCAACGCGAAGAACCUUACCAAGGCUUGACAUAUACGAGAACGGGCCAGAAAUGGUCAACUCUUUGGACACUCGUAAACAGGUGGUGCAUGGUUGUCGUCAGCUCGUGUCGUGAGAUGUUGGGUUAAGUCCCGCAACGAGCGCAACCCUCGUUCUAUGUUGCCAGCACGUCAUGGUGGGAACUCAUGGAAUACUGCCGGGGUCAACUCGGAGGAAGGUGAGGAUGACGUCAAAUCAUCAUGCCCCUUAUGUCUUGGGCUUCACGCAUGCUACAAUGGCCGGUACAAUGGGCUGCAAUACCGCAAGGUGGAGCGAAUCCCAAAAAGCCGGUCCCAGUUCGGAUUGAGGUCUGCAACUCGACCUCAUGAAGUCGGAGUCGCUAGUAAUCGCAGAUCAGCAACGCUGCGGUGAAUACGUUCCCGGGUCUUGUACACACCGCCCGUCAAGUCAUGAAAGUCGGUAACACCUGAAGCCGGUGGCCCAACCC
rnacentral:rRNA from 1 species